rnacentral:rRNA from 1 species
GACGAACCGUGCGAACGUUGUUCGGAAUCACUGGGCUUAAAGGGCGCGUAGGCGGCUUGCCAAGUCCGGGGUGAAAUCCUCCAGCUUAACUGGAGAAGUGCCUUGGAUACUGAUGAGCUCGAGGGAGGUAGGGGUGUGUGGAACUUCCGGUGGAGCGGUGAAAUGCGUUGAUAUCGGAAGGAACGCCGGUGGCGAAAGCGACGCACUGGACCUCUUCUGACGCUGAGGCACGAAAGCUAGGGGAGCAAACGGG